UACAGAGGUCCCAAGCGUUGUUCGGAUUCACUGGGCGUAAAGGGUGCGUAGGUGGUGAGGUAAGUCGGAUGUGAAAGCUCCGAGCUCAACUCGGAAAUGGCAUUGGAAACUACCUUGCUCGAGGGUUGGAGGGGGGACUGGAAUACUUGGUGUAGCAGUGAAAUGCGUAGAUAUCAAGUGGAACACCAGUGGCGAAGGCGAGUCCCUGGACAACUCCUGACACUGAGGCACGAAAGCUAGGGGAGCAAACAGG
rnacentral:rRNA from 1 species